GGCGCACGGGUGCGUAACACGUAUGCAACCUACCCUUUACAGGGGGAUAGCUCAGAGAAAUCUGAAUUAAUACCCCAUAGUUACAUUUUGCUGCAUGGUAAGAUGUAUAAAGCUCCGGCGGUAAAGGAUGGGCAUGCGUUACAUUAGCUAGUUGGUGAGGUAAUGGCUCACCAAGGCUACGAUGUAUAGGGGUUCUGAGAGGAUGAUCCCCCACACUGGUACUGAGACACGGACCAGACUCCUACGGGAGGCAGCAGUAGGGAAUAUUGGACAAUGGACGCAAGUCUGAUCCAGCCAGGCCGCGUGCAGGAUGACAGCCCUCUGGGUUGUAAACUGCUUUUAUAUGAGAAGAAACCCUCAGAUGCGUUUGAGGCUGACGGUAUCAUAUGAAUAAGGAUCGGCUAACUUCGUGCCAGCAGCCGCGGUAAGACGAAGGAUCCAAGCGUUGUCCGGAUUUACUGGGUUUAAAGGAUGC
rnacentral:rRNA from 1 species